rnacentral:lncRNA from 1 species
UGGGGGAGGGGUGGAGCGAGCUGGGCUCGGCGCCCUUAGCGCGGGUGGGCGUCGCAGCGAGUCCUCCACUCUGGAGCCCAGGAGAGGCGGGCGGGUGCGGAGCGGAGCGCCGUGCUGCAGGGAGGCGUCCUUGGGUUUCGCGGCGCUCUCCUGAAACAGCUGAAUAAAUAAAUAACCGGUGCGGCCACCCCGCCCCCCGCGGUGCCGGUGACGGUGGCGGUGGUGGCGGCGGCCGUGGCGCUCGGAAAGCCCGGCUCGGGGCCGCCUCCCCGCGACGCGGGCCGCCGCGCAGCUCCGGGAACUGGGCUCCGUCCGACUUCCGGGAGAGGGGAGGCUUCUCUUCUGCAAAGUCCUGCAGCCCUCCGGGGCUCUUCGGUUUUUACAGUGGAAAACUACGAUUUUAAAACAUAGACGUGAAAAUAAAUGAGAUUAGGACCUGCCGGCUUCACUUCCUGGAGGCUUGUUUGUUGUGUCUUGAAACUGGGAACCUUUGCGGGCCGCCCUUGUAAGUGCCUUUUACUCGGUUCACACCAGUGCUUGUGCGUCUCUGCUGCGUGUAGCAUCGGUCAAUUGGCAACAUCGCAUUAAUUUUUGUCUGAUGAUGAUUUCUGCUUUGGUCGGUUAACACUACCUCUCUCGAUGACAUAAAAUAAAUGCAAAAAAAAUAGAGAGAGAGGCAUGAAGGGAGAGAGAUCUUUUUAACCCUGCUAUAAAAUAGUUAAAAUGCCUCCUAACGCGAUGCCAAUAUCGAAGAGUGGAGUAUUAUUCAGACUGUAGAGAUAUUUUUAAAAAAUACUAGCUCAGUAGCCAUUCGACCGUAGAGCAACAUGAUAAAAUUGUUAAUAGCAAUGACAAAAUCCCUAUGGCUUAUUCUAAAUUUAUUUUAGAAUGCUUAUAAGUAUGUCGAAGAUAGUAAAUCACGUAUGUGAUGUGUUUAAUCUCUGAGCAUGUGAGAGAGAAGCAUACAAGUAGACACAAUUUCUGAUCUGAAGUUCAACCUAGAAAAUCCCCAAAUACAAUUAUAAAGCAGAUGCCCCUUAGGGUGUCUGGUAAAAAUGAAAGUUUCUUUCGCAGAGAGUUUACUUCAUUUUCUUUCAAAAUAAACUUAAAGGCCAAGGAAUUAUUCCAAAACCAGAAUGAGGCAACCCUACGGUGGUAAGAUAAAUUAAUAGAAACAAUUCAACUCAACAAAAAUUGGCCUUCAGGCUACAUCUGAGGAGCCAUAUAAAACUUUAAAAUGAUGCAUUGCAUGUUUAGUAGUGACAGGGAGGUACCUUUAUCUAAACAGGUUGCACAGACCGACUGAGGGCAACCAUUUCCACUACACUAUUUCUCAGUUUCCUUAUGUAACUAAGGCUCUGGAAUUUGAAUAUUCUGAAUCAGAGGUUGCUUGCUGGAGCUCCUUGGGCCUGAAAUUUUCGAUCAGACCUGUAUGGGCUCUGGGUAUAUUUUAAACUUCUGCAUUAGUUAUGGAUAUUUCAACACUGAAAUGUUUCAUAUGGAAAGCUGGACUUUGGUUUUCCCUUUGAAAUAGAAAAAGAUCUGGUCACUCUGGGUGGGAGCCAUGGCUGGAUCACAGAAGCAGUGUUAGAUGUGGAGGUAGCCAACUGCACUUUCCCUGCUGUCCCCUAACCCCUUGGCCCUUACCCUGUUAAGAUUCUCCCCCAGGCUUGUGAGCUUUCAAGUUCUGGUCCAGAUAGCCCUUCACCAAUGCUCAGCCUCUCUACUAGGAUACUGAAGUCAUAGAUGACUUAUUCACACUAGGGUCUAGACCUAAUUAAUGCACAUAUGUUACCUUAAAUCCUUGAUCAAAUCUUGACUUCUAGAAGUUCAUUUAGGCAGAUUCAACUGAUCAGAAGCUAUUUCCUGAAGAUCCGUACCACUACACAACAUCCUGGUUCCCUCCUCCUGGUGAGGCUUAGGAGGAUGGGUGUCCUCUGGAAUUAAACUCAGCACUGGUCCUGGACUGGCCAUGGUCAUUCAAGUGAUUGAAGUGGAAAAUGAGGAAGGAUGGCCCAGGUGAUUCCCUGGCCGGUUCUGGCCAGCAUGCUGCUCCUGCAAUUCUAUCUGAUGCCUUCCUUGGAUCCCAAAUGCCUACUCACCAGUUGAGAAACAUUUAUUGAGCACCUACUAAAAGUACCCUGAAGUGAACAAUGGCUUUCAGGAAGGUGAAGUGGUUCCUGAACCUAGGAAGCUCAGGAAACGGAAUUGCAAGCCCAGGGCUUGGCAUUUGGGUUCUAGAUGCCUUUUUCACCACCCAUCAUCGGACACCAUCCCUGUCAUCUUCACAAAGAUUCCACCAGGGCCCCCUCUCCUGCCGCCCAGCAGUUUGCCCUCUGUGUCAUGGCGGAGUUUUGAAUUUAACAGUCACUUCUGCAUUUCGUGUGGACGCUUCGCGUAGUACCCUAGCUUAGGUGCUCCUUAGAUAAUCCUGGAGUUUAAUUUCCUUGUUAUGCACCCAUCCUCUGAAACUCAGCUUCUAUGUGUUCACGCAUUGAAUAGGGUGCAGCAUCUUCUAGAAACCAGACACUGUUCCAGAAGCUAUGGAUACAGCUGUGGACAAAACAAAUCCCCACCCACAUGGAUCUGCUGGUUGGGGAUGGCAGAGCCACCAAAUAAACUCUUUGGAAUUCUUAUCUGUUCAGUUGUUACCUGUAUCCUGACAUCUGCCGCAACCUUGUUUGCUGUGACUCCUUCUCCAUUUCUUUCAGAAUGGACCUGUUUCCUAGCUCCAGUCUUCACAGCCUUUACUUGGAUGGUGAUUUUAUCUGUAGCCGGAGAGCUUGCUGUUUGUCCUGUUGCAUUUCAGGUUCUGAAGGGUUUUUGCUUUUUUUUCUUUUACAGUGCUGGGCAGGCCCAGGGCCUGGCACAUGAAACAUGAGUGCUGUACCACUGAGUACCCCCAGGCGUCUGUUGUGUUUUGAAUCAGAGCAUCCCCAUCUCUUAACCAACAUCAAGCAUUCAUUUACAAAAACCAGGAGCUUCCAUAAUAAGCUAACUUUUAAAAAGGCAACUUGUAUAUUCUGUACAUACCGAAUCUUGUCCGAGAAGGUUUGUUGAAGCCACAUGACCCAGCCUUACUGUUUAUUUUGUUGUUAUAAUAUUGCCUUUCUUUUGAAGUUUCCUAGCUAUUAUGCCAAACAUAAAAAUAACUGACUGCUUUACAUUCAUAUUCCAUAACUUAUUUUGAGCAGUACUAUGAAUAAUGUAUUAGUAAAAUGUAAUCUUAUCUUUAAAUAUGUGAUUUUUUUAAAAAUAAAUUUUGCUGCAUCCUUAUU